GAUGAAGAACGCAGCGAAAUGCGAUAAGUAAUGUGAAUUGCAGAAUUCAGUGAAUCAUCGAAUCUUUGAACGCAUAUUGCGCUCUCUGGUAUUCCGGAGAGCAUGCUUGUUUGAGUAUCAGUAAACACCUCAACUUCCAUAUCUUUUUUGAAAUGGGAGUUGGACUUGAGUGAUCCCAACGCUUUUCCUCACCGAAAAGUGGCGGGUUACUUGAAAUGCAGGUGCAGCUGGACUUUUCUCUGAGCUAUAAGCAUAUCUAUUUAGUCUGCCUAAAAAACAGAUUAUUACCUUUGCUGCAGCUAACAUAAAGGAGAUUAGUUCUUGUGCUGACUGAUGCAGGAUUCACAAAGACGGCUUCGGCCGACUUUGUAAACUCGAUCUCAAAUCAAGUAAGACUACCCGCUGAACUUAAGCAUAUCAAUAAGCGGAGGA
rnacentral:misc_RNA from 1 species